GGGAAGUACAGUUUCCAGGAAACCCAGCAGGCGUUCAAGAUGCUGAAGGCGUGGCGCACCAAGACCCCCCACGGACCGCUCCACUACCUGCCGCAGCUGGAGGAAACACUGCAGAACAUCGGCAAACCGGACCUGGCUGCAGACGUACAGGGGGUGUAUAAGGACUACCGUGAUGCCUUGCCGUCACAAGAGAUCUGUCCUGAGAUGACCGGAGACACCGAAUGGUCCCUCCGCCUGCCAGGUGAAGGGAAGUACCUGUGCAGAC